rnacentral:rRNA from 1 species
UACGUAGGGGCAAGCGUUGUCCGGAUUUAUUGGGCGUAAAGAGCGUGUAGGCGGCUUACAGGUCCGUUGUGAAACUCGAGGCUCAACCUCGAGACGCCGGUGGAAACCGUAAGGCUAGAGUCCGGAAGAGGAGAGUGGAAUUCCUGGUGUAGCGGUGAAAUGCGCAGAUAUCAGGAGGAACACCAAUAGCGAAGGCAGCUCGCUGGACGUUACUGACACUGAGGCGCGAAGCGUGGG